rfam:Asian citrus Psyllid, Diaphorina citri - Florida Strain, whole genome shotgun sequence.
GCCUAGUUAGCUUAGUUGGUAGUGCGUCUGCCUUAUUAGCGCUAGGCCGCGGGUUCGAUUCCCGCCCGGGGCG